CUUCCUUGUCAGUGACUGCUAUGGGAAAAAAUUCUGCAACUCGAUGCUCUGGGAUCGGUACUACUCCACGAGGCGGAGAUUAUCAAUUUUCAUACAGGCAGGGACAUGAUCAAAAUUUUGGGUGGGAACUCUAACAGUAUGAAGCAAGACACGCCUUUGAGAACUACAUGAGUGAUGUACAUUCACUUCAGAAUGUAAGACUUCAACUCGCAGGUGUGUAUAAAAAUUGUACAGUACACUAAAUGAACUGAGUAAUGAAUUAGUUAGCCUCAUAUCUUUGUAUUGGUUAACCACACUCUUGUGCAAGUUCGCAAAUCCUAAUUACUAUCCACACUUUGUAUAGCAGACUGAUUUAUGAAUGAAGUGUUAUACACAGACACAUGCACACACACUCACAUGCACGCAUGCACACGCACGCACGCAUGCACACGCACACGCACACGCACACACGCACGCACGCACGCACGCACGCACACGCACACACACGCACACACACACACGCACACGCACACAAACAUUUAUGCAUUUUUACAUUUUCAAAUAAACAAGCAAACGUGACCAAUCUAAAUCCGAAACAAUUAUAUUGAUUAUAUUAUAUUAUAAUUCAAAUGAAAUAUCUUUUUUUAAUGUUUGGACAAGUAAUUUUUGUACUCGGACAAGUGAAUGUCAAAUUUACUUGUCCGAAGGACAACCACCCUGUGUAAUGCACCACAACAGCCAAGUGACUUGCGUGAGCCACCUUAUUCCCCUGUGCUACCCACUUGAGGGGGCGCAAUCCACAGUUUGAGAACCCAAACCUCUGAUCUAAAGGUCCAUGCAUCGCACAUCAUGGCCACUCUGCAGAGGUAAGGGAUGUUUUUACACUUAUCCUUACAGAAAACCCCCGGUGGUGCACAGCAUGUUGUAUUUCUAGCUCUACUUUUUACAUUUUCUAUUUAAAGUAUUGCAAUAUAUCGCAAAUGUUUAUCGUAUCGAAAUGCAUAGCAAUAUAUUGUAUCGUGACCCAUCUAUCGUGAUAUGUAUCGUAUCGGGAGGCACUUGCCAAUACACAGCCCUAGUAUUCAUAUCUAUGAUUGUAUCAUUUUAGAUUACCUUAGCACACCUGUUCGCACACUUAUGAAGACAAAGGUGUUUUGUCUGUCUGAUCAAGUAACAAUUACUUUGUUUAUCUUUCCUACUUUACUGUACAUUUCUUUUAAGCUCACUUAAAGAAGUAGCUCUGGAAAACUUGAUGCUGAUUGGCCAAUUGUAACAUUCCAAGGUCUGAUAUUCCCAGAUAACUACCGCUCAAAACUAAAACACAUGACUCAUGUUCACACU